rnacentral:rRNA from 1 species
UACGGAGGGGGCUAGCGUUGUUCGGAAUUACUGGGCGUAAAGCGCACGUAGGCGGCUUUGUAAGUUAGAGGUGAAAGCCCGGGGCUCAACUCCGGAAUUGCCUUUAAGACUGCAUCGCUAGAAUUGUGGAGAGGUAAGUGGAAUUCCGAGUGUAGAGGUGAAAUUCGUAGAUAUUCGGAAGAACACCAGUGGCGAAGGCGACUUACUGGACACAUAUUGACGCUGAGGCACGAAAGCGUGGGGAUCAAACAGG